rnacentral:rRNA from 1 species
GACGAACGCUGGCGGCGCGCCUAACACAUGCAAGUCGAACGGGAAAAUAACUUAGUGGCGAACGGGUGAGUAACGCGUGAGUAACCUGCCCUGGAGUGGGGGACAACAGUUGGAAACGACUGCUAAUACCGCAUAAGCCCACGGUACCGCAUGGUACUGGGGGAAAAGGAUUUAUUCGCUUCAGGAUGGACUCGCGUCCAAUUAGCUAGUUGGUGAGGUAACGGCCCACCAAGGCGACGAUUGGUAGCCGGACUGAGAGGUUGAACGGCCACAUUGGGACUGAGACACGGCCCAGACUCCUACGGGAGGCAGCAGUGGGGGAUAUUGCACAAUGGGGGAAACCCUGAUGCAGCGACGCCGCGUGGAGGAAGAAGGUUUUCGGAUUGUAAACUCCUGUCGUUAGGGACGAUAAUGACGGUACCUAACAAGAAAGCACCGGCUAACUACGUGCCAGCAGCCGCGGUAAAACGUAGGGUGCAAGCGUUGUCCGGAAUUACUGGGUGUAAAGGGAGCGCAGGCGGACCGGCAAGUUGGAAGUGAAAACCAUAGGCUCAACCUAUGGAUUGCUUUCAAAACUGCUGGCCUUGAGUAGUGCAGAGGUAGGUGGAAUUCCCGGUGUAGCGGUGGAAAUGCGUAGAUAUCGGGAGGAACACCAGUGGCGAAGGCGACCUACUGGGCACCAACUGACGCUGAGGCUCGAAGGCAUGGGUAGCAAACAGGAUUAGAUACCCUGGUAGUCCAUGCCGUAAACGAUGAUUACUAGGUGUUGGAGGAUUGACCCCUUCAGUGCCGCAGUUAACACAAUAAGUAAUCCACCUGGGGAGUACGACCGCAAGGUUGAAACUCAAAGGAAUUGACGGGGGCCCGCACAAGCAGUGGAGUAUGUGGUUUAAUUCGAAGCAACGCGAAGAACCUUACCAGGUCUUGACAUCCGAUGCAUAGUGCAGAGAUGCAUGAAGUCCUUCGGGACAUCGAGACAGGUGGUGCAUGGUUGUCGUCAGCUCGUGUCGUGAGAUGUUGGGUUAAGUCCCGCAACGAGCGCAACCCUUAUUGCCAGUUACUACGCAAGAGGACUCUGGCGAGACUGCCGUUGACAAAACGGAGGAAGGUGGGGAUGACGUCAAAUCAUCAUGCCCUUUAUGACCUGGGCUACACACGUACUACAAUGGCGUUUAACAAAGAGAAGCAAGACCGCGAGGUGGAGCAAAACUCAAAAACAACGUCUCAGUUCAGAUUGCAGGCUGCAACUCGCCUGCAUGAAGUCGGAAUUGCUAGUAAUCGCGGAUCAGCAUGCCGCGGUGAAUACGUUCCCGGGCCU